rnacentral:rRNA from 1 species
CACGCCCUAAACGAUGUCAACUAGCUGUUGGGACCAAUAGGUCUUAGUAGCGCAGCUAACGCGUGAAGUUGACCGCCUGGGGAGUACGGUCGCAAGAUUAAAACUCAAAGGAAUUGACGGGGACCCGCACAAGCGGUGGAUGAUGUGGAUUAAUUCGAUGCAACGCGAAAAACCUUACCUACGCUUGACAUGUCUGGAAUCCUGAAGAGAUUUAGGAGUGCCCGUAAGGGAACCGGAACACAGGUGC